CUAUAACAAGCCCAAAGAGUUUUAUUGGACAAGGGGUUUAGGUCUUUAGCAAAUAAAGCUGCAUUUCAAAGGGAAUUGCUAUAGGGAACAGAUAGCAGGGAGAAAUAUGAAUCCCGUUAGCUGCUGUUUACUGGAAAUGGUCGAUAAAUGAGUGUGUCAACAUAGUGGCUCCUGAGUCACAUACAGCUUGCAAGAAAUUCAAGCAGAGCUCCCUUGCACAGCCCAUAUCACAUGGAAGAUUGACAGAAAUGUAGUUCAAGACCCUUCGAUCAUCAGUGAAUUUGUUAUAUUAGAAUCAAACUUCUGUCCUGUAUUAAAAAGAAAAGAAACAAACACGGGCAACAAAGACUGGACAAGUGGAGAAGGAAGGAAGGUCAGGAGGAUGGAUGAAAGCCAGGCUAGAAGGCUGGAAGAAAGGUCUCCUGAAUAUUACACCUAUUUCUCCCUGCCUGGCUUUCUAUGCCUGUAGAUUGACGUUUUGGACUGAAAGACCUUACUCUCUUUCUGAAAAAGCUGAAACUAACCCGGAAACAUGGAGAUGCUACCUCCCAGACAAUUAUGAGAAAGGAAAUCACAGAAUCACAGAAUUAUCUAGGUUGGAAGAGACCUCAAGAUCAUCGAGUCCAACCUCUGACCUAACACUAACAAGUCCUCCACUAAACCAUAUCGCUAAGUUCAACAUCUGAUGUAAAAGAAAACUGAAUGAUGCUUUCUGAAAUAUAAAAUUUCUUGCAUGUGUAACCAUAGUGGGCAGGUCAGAUGUCUGACUGUGUAAAAAAAUAUAAAUAAAUAAAUAAAUAAAAUGAUAGGUGCA
rnacentral:lncRNA from 1 species